UUGAGCAAAUGUGCCUCGGGGGAGAACCACACAUGCGACCCCUCUCUCUCAUUUAGGAUUGCCGCCGCCGCCCUCAUCCACGCUGGUGCUUCAUCUUCUGUACUGAGCUUCACCUCAUCCAGGCCCCCCCUUGCCUCUCCUCGCCUCGCCGCUAGGGUUGCCGUUGCCGUCAUUCAUGCCCUCAAGCGGGGAUGGGAUAGAAGAAGCGUCUGGUGGUGAUGUCCUCUUGUCGACUGCGGUGGCGCAGACGGCGUCGAGGGGCGGGGCCGACCUGCUGGCCGAGCUGACCAACCGCUUGAGGUUGCUGGAGUCUGAGGUGCGAGAAGAGGUCCAACAGACAGAGGGAGUGUCCGUGGGAGAAGCACCCACUACAAAAUCCAUUUUCUCUCUCUGUGUGUGUAUGUGUUGUGGAUUUGGAUCAAGGAAGGAGAUGGCGUGGGGAUGAGGCAGUGGGUGGAGGAAGAGGGCGAUGCCGGCGGACGGAGGGGGCGGAUCUUGAUCCAGGCCGCCCCUCGUGUCUGAUUUGUUCGUUGAGAUGAUCUUCUCUCCUCCCAUCUCCCCCUCUCUUCUCUCACUGACCCCAUCUCGUCUCUGCAGGUAGAGCGGCGUGAGGACCAGGCCAACAUCUCUCUUUACCUCCACCAAACACCAACAUGGUUGAGAGCAUAAAUGCAUCAUUCAUCCAUCAACCCAUCUAUAGAUCCAGGAUGAUUGCUUACAUCUAGCCAGCAAUCUACUUCUUGGGCGAUAAUUUUGACAAUCAUAAAACCUUUCAGGUCUGACUAUCUUGUGAUGGUGAUUCUAGCAAAGAUAGCAAAGGUAAUGAUGCAACAAAAAUGAUGGGAGCGACUCUCAACAUUCAGAAACAUUCAGAUUUCACAGUUUAAGAAAGAAGCUUGCACGACAGUAAGCUAACAAGAAAACUGCACAAUGAGUAAUGAUUUGAGACUUCGAAGCGAUGGGAUCAAAUUGUUUAUCUUAAGAGAGCAAAAGUAUCUUUGUCUUAUCCAUUGUACAACAAAGUAUGGCAGAGGCACCUCUAUCUAUAACUGUCUGCUACCUUCUGAUCAACGUUAAAAUUAACGCGACUCACG